ensembl:lncRNA USP3-AS1 USP3 antisense RNA 1
GUGGCCGCAGCCCGAGAGCGUGACGGACGCCAGGUUGGGGCACCUGUGAGGAGAGUGCGGUGACCCGGGGCUCACUGGCUUGUUAAAGCUACCCAACCGCCCCAUGGGACCGAGUGGACUCAUUUACCGAGGAGGACUCGGGCCCUGCGAGGUCACUUCAUCCUGGCCCAGGUACUGCAGCUCCAAAUCGUGGGGAUUCUGUAAGAGCUUGCUACCUGUUGACUGAGGAGGCCCACGAGUUGAGCAAAAAGAAUGAUUCCUCAGCAGUCAUUGUGAAAUUUUGUGGGCCACAAGUAUUGUGCACACAUGAUCCUUGAUUUAGAGUCAACCUGAUGUCCAUUAUAGCUGUGGAAAGGCAGCAGGCAGUUGUGUCGCUCUUCACAAUAAGGAACACAUCUUGCUUUCAGCAUGUGAGAGGAACAAAAGCAUUGAUGUAAAUGUGCCUCAAAGUGAGAACUGAAAACAUUAACAUAAAAUAAAAAAGUCAAAUAAGACUAAGUUCUUACAA